rnacentral:rRNA from 1 species
AUUGAACGCUGGCGGCAUGCCUUACACAUGCAAGUCGAACGGCAGCACGGGUGCUUGCACCUGGUGGCGAGUGGCGAACGGGUGAGUAAUACAUCGGAACAUGUCCUGUAGUGGGGGAUAGCCCGGCGAAAGCCGGAUUAAUACCGCAUACGAUCCACGGAUGAAAGCGGGGGACCUUCGGGCCUCGCGCUAUAGGGUUGGCCGAUGGUUGAUUAGCUAGUUGGUGGGGUAAAGGCCUACCAAGGCGACGAUCAGUAGCUGGUCUGAGAGGACGACCAGCCACACUGGGACUGAGACACGGCCCAGACUCCUACGGGAGGCAGCAGUGGGGAAUUUUGGACAAUGGGCGAAAGCCUGAUCCAGCAAUGCCGCGUGUGUGAAGAAGGCCUUCGGGUUGUAAAGCACUUUUGUCCGGAAAGAAAUCCUUGGCUCUAAUACAGUCGGGGGAUGACGGUACCGGAAGAAUAAGCACCGGCUAACUACGUG